rnacentral:rRNA from 1 species
GGGGGCAUGACACACCCGGGACGUCAAUAAAAACUAAAUGAGAGGAGACGGCAAGAGUCAUAAAACGGUAUGAAGUACCCAGAGUCUCGAGGAAUUCUCAGUAACCUAGAACAAUACUGGUCCGCGUUAUUAGUCUCGCACAGUCCGUCGCUGAGUCUGGUAAACAGUCGAUCGACUCGACGUCCGGAACAGUUUCCGCUCCAUCAGCUUCGAUGGUUGGGUAUUGGCCUACCAUUGCAACAACGGGUAACGAGGAAUUAGGGUUUGAUUUCGGAGAGGGAGCCUGAGAAACGGCUACCACAUCUACGGAUGGCAGCAGGCGCGCAAAUUACCCAAUGCAGACACUGUGAGGUAGUGACGAGAAAUAAUAAAGCGGGACUUCUGUUUCGCUAUUAUAAUGAGGAAUAACCAAAGGUCAUUCCGAUUAGCAACUGAUGGGAAAGUCUGGUGCCAGCAGCCGCGGUAAUACCAGCGUCAGUAGCAUAUAUUAAAAUUGUUGC